UACGUAGGGGGCUAGCGUUGUCCGGAAUCAUUGGGCGUAAAGCGCGUGUAGGCGGUUCGGUAAGUCCGCUGUGAAAGUCGGGGGCUCAACCCUCGAAAGCCGGUGGAUACUGUCGGGCUAGAGUACGGAAGAGGCGAGUGGAAUUCCUGGUGUAGCGGUGAAAUGCGCAGAUAUCGGGAGGAACACCAGUGGCGAAGGCGACUUCUUGGCCUGUUCUUGACGCUGAGGCGCGAAAGCUGGGGGAGCAAACGGGG
rnacentral:rRNA from 1 species